AUCCCAUUCGUCUAAUGGUUAGGACGCCAGGUUUUCAACCUGUAAAAAAGAGUUCAAUUCUCUUAUGGGAUAUCA
rnacentral:tRNA from 1 species